rnacentral:rRNA from 1 species
ACUCCUGCGGGAGGCAGCAGUGGGGAAUAUUGGACAAUGGGCGCAAGCCUGAUCCAGCCAUGCCGCGUGAGUGAUGAAGGCCCUAGGGUUGUAAAGCUCUUUCACCGGUGAAGAUAAUGACGGUAACCGGAGAAGAAGCCCCGGCUAACUUCGUGCCAGCAGCCGCGGUAAUACGAAGGGGGCUAGCGUUGUUCGGAUUUACUGGGCGUAAAGCGCACGUAGGCGGACUAUUAAGUCAGGGGUGAAAUCCCGGGGCUCAACCCCGGAACUGCCUUUGAUACUGGUAGUCUUGAGUUCGAGAGAGGUGAGUGGAAUUCCGAGUGUAGAGGUGAAAUUCGUAGAUAUUCGAAGGAACACCAGUGGCGAAGGCGGCUCACUGGCUCGAUACUGACGCUGAGGUGCGAAAGCGUGGGGAGCAAACAGGAUUAGAAACCCGAGUAGUCCC